rnacentral:lncRNA from 1 species
AGCCCUAACAUUAAAGGUGUUGGCUGUGGCCUUGGAAACAGUCAUGUGAAAACCCAUCACCUUAAGGUGUUGAGUGUAAGGAUCUUCAUGAUGAAGUUUGUUUAAACGGUGCAGUGAGCCUCAGUUUCUGAAGCCGGAAAAGGAUCCUCUAGUAGCCACAUUGUGGCAGUUGACCUGAACCAGGACCUGGACCCGGACCCA